CCUACGGGUGGCAGCAGUGGGGAAUAUUGCACAAUGGGGGAAACCCUGAUGCAGCGACGCCGCGGGAGCUAUGAAGUAUGUCGGUAUGUAAAGCUCUAUCAGCAGUGAAGACGAUGACGGUACCUGACUAAGACACCCCGGCUAACUACGUGCCAGCCGCCGCGGUAAUACGUAGGGGGCAAGCGUUAUCCGGAGUUCCUGGGUGUAAAGGGAGCGUAGACGUCGAUGCAAGACAGAUGUGAAAGCCCGGGGCUCAACCCCGGGACUGCAUUUGGACCUGGGUGGAUGGAGUGUCGGAGAGGCAGGCGGAAUGGCUAGUGUAGCGGUGAAAUGCGUAGAUAUUAGGAGGAACACCAGUGGCGAAGGCGGCCUGAUUGACGAUGACUGACGUUGAGGCUCGAAAGCGUGGGGAGCAAACAGGAUUAGAUACCCGAGGAGUC
rnacentral:rRNA from 1 species